AGCGCAACACAAACCCACUGGAAGGAAGA
rnacentral:piRNA from 1 species